GUUGUUGUCUCUUAACAAACAGCUUCUUAUCUACAAUACUUGGGGUGUUUAAGCUGUUCUUGUUGUUAUCAUCAAGUCAAUGUUUGCUAAUAUGCAUUGUUCAUGUUGGCUUUGUUGUUCUUGUGUGUAGUUGUAUGUUAUAAAGUUUCCUUCUUUGUCUUGUUAUUGAAGUCAAAAGUAUGUUCGGUUUGUAAAAUUAAACUAGGCACUGUUGCUUGUUAUCCUCAUGGCAGUUGUUUCUUAAUGUUCUGAUCGUAUAAACUCAAGUGACUUAAGUCAUAAAUUUUCUAAAACUUUUUCUUUAUAAUGACAUGUGAUGAGUGGGGGAUUGUAUUACGAUCAAGGAGGAGAAUGUUAUGAGAAUGCAAAGGGCACUUGCAUUCCAAUCUAUAAACUUAAGGACCUCAGUAGAGCUUUGUUUGACUUUGGCUCUUCCACCGAAGAUAAAGAGAGUGUUUUACAUGUGAAGCUGGCUUAGGAAACUAAAGAUGAGUUUGCUGCAGUUUUACAAGUCACUGAGCCAUCUAAAACAAGGUGAGGAAACAUAGACUUGGCUGGCUUUGACACACCCGCGGGCUUGUACCGCCAAUGCUUGUGCAAGUAGCGGGUCGGGAUUGGGCAGCACUUCUAGUGACCGCAU